CAUAGCUCAGCGGUAGAGCAAUGGUCUUAUGAACCAUAAGUCGUGGGUUCAAAUCCCAUUG
rnacentral:ncRNA from 12 species